rnacentral:tRNA from 1 species
GGCGCGUUGGCAGAGUGGUGAUGCAGCGGAUUGCAAAUCCGCCAACCUCGGUUCAAUUCCGGGACGCGCCU